UACAGAGGUCUCAAGCGUUGUUCGGAAUUACUGGGCGUAAAGCGUGUGUAGGCGGCGAGGUAAGUCAGAUGUGAAAGCCCGGGGCUCAACCUCGGAACUGCAUCCGAUACUGCCUCGCUAGAGUAGUGGAGGGGAGACUGGAAUUCACGGUGUAGCAGUGAAAUGCGUAGAUAUCGUGAGGAACACUAGUGGCGAAGGCGAGUCUCUGGACACUUACUGACGCUGAGACACGAAGGCCAGGGUAGCGAAAGGG
rnacentral:rRNA from 1 species